GAGGGUAUAGUUCAAGUGAUAGAGUGCAUGCUUAGCAUGCAUGAGGUCCUGGGUUCGAUCCCUGGUACCUCCA
rnacentral:tRNA from 1 species